AGAAGUUUAGGUUAAAUUAGACCAAGAGCCUUCAAAGCUCUAAGUA
rnacentral:tRNA from 1 species